rnacentral:rRNA from 1 species
UCCCAUAAACCGUGGCUCAGUUCAGAUCGUAGGCUGCAACUCGCCUAUGUGAAGGAGGAAUCGCUAGUAAUCGCAGGUCAGCAUACUGCGGUGAAUACGUUCCCGGGCCUUGUACACACCGCCCGUCACACCAUGGAAGUUGGCCACGCCCGAAGCCGUUACUCCAACCCUUGUGGAGGAGGACGUCGAAGGUGGGGCUGAUGACUGGGGUGAAGUCGUAACAAGGUAUCCGUACCGGAAGGUGCGGAUGGAUCACCUCCUAA